GGUAAAAAAAGCUCCGUAGUUGGAUUUCUGUUGAGGAUGGCCGGUCCAUACCACGUAUGCGCAUCUGGUUUUUCAUCCUCGGCAUCCUCUCGAAAUACGUCUCUGUGCUUGAUUGCAUGGAACGGAGUUCGGGACUUUUACUUUGAGGAAAUUAGAGUGUUCACGGCAGGCUAUCGCCCGAAUACGUUAGCAUGGAAUAAUGAUAUAGGGUCUCGAUUCUAUUUUGUUGGUUUCUAGGAUUGGGAUAAUGAUUAAUAGGGACAAUUGGGGGCAUUCGUAUCAACACGUCAGAGGUGGAAUUCUUGGAUUGUGUUGCGACGAACUACUGCGAAAGCAUUUGCCAAAGAUGUUUUCAUUGAUCAAGAACGAAAGUAAGGGGAUCGAAGAUGAUUAGAUACCGUCGUAGUCUUUACCACAAACUAUGCCGACUAGAGAUGGGGCAUCGUUCAUUUACGACUUGCUCCGCACCUUAUGAGAUAUCAAAGUUUUUGGGUUCCGGGGGGAGUAUGAUCGCAAGAUUGGAACUUAAAGGAAUUGACGGAAGGGCACCACCAGGAGCGGAGCCUGCGGCUUAAUUUGACUCAACACGGGAAAACUCACCAGGUCCAGACAUAAUAAGGAUUGACAGAUUGAUAGCUCUUUCUUGAUUUUAUGGGUGGUGGUGCAUGGCCGUUCUUAGUUCGUGGAGUGAUUUGUCUGGUUAAUUCCGUU
rnacentral:rRNA from 1 species